UAGGGAAUCUUCCGCAAUGGGCGAAAGCCUGACGGAGCAACGCCGCGUGAGUGAUGAAGGUCUUCGGAUCGUAAAACUCUGUUNNNNUNGNNGNAAAUUUGUUUNUUUAGGGGAGAGACCAANNGUGUUAAUAAACUGUCCCACUUCUGACCGUUCCUUAAUCAGAAACCACGGCUAACUACGUGCCAGCAGCCGCGGUAAUACGUAGGUGGCAAGCGUUAUCCGGAAUUAUUGGGCGUAAAGCGCGCGUAGGCGGUUUUUUAAGUCUGAUGUGAAAGCCCACGGCUCAACCGUGGAGGGUCAUUGGAAACUGGAAAACUUGAGUGCAGAAGAGGAAAGUGGAAUUCCAUGUGUAGCGGUGAAAUGCGCAGAGAUAUGGAGGAACACCAGUGGCGAAGGCGACUUUCUGGUCUGUAACUGACGCUGAUGUGCGAAAGCGUGGGGAUCAAACAGGAUUAGAUACCCUGGUAGUCCACGCCGUAAACGAUGAGUGCUAAGUGUUAGGGGGUUUCCGCCCCUUAGUGCUGCAGCUAACGCAUUAAGCACUCCGCCUGGGGAGUACGACCGCAAGGUUG
rnacentral:rRNA from 1 species